rnacentral:sRNA from 1 species
GUUUGACAAAAAAAAUUGAAAAAAAAA